rnacentral:snRNA from 1 species
GUACUCGCUUCGGCGGUACAUAUACUAAAAUUGGAACGAUGCAGAAAACAUUAACAUGGCCCCUGCGCGAGGAUGACACGCAAAAUCGUGAAGCGUUCCACAUCUUU